rnacentral:rRNA from 1 species
GUCCCCGCACAAGCAGCGGAGCGUGUGGUUUAAUUCGAUGAUACGCGAAAAACCUUACCAGGGUUUGACAUGUGGGUGGUAGGAAACCGAAAGGUGACCGACUCUUCGGAGAGCCUUCACAGGUGCUGCAUGGCUGUCGUCAGCUCGUGUCGUGAGACGUUCGGUUAAGUCCGCUAACGAGCGCAACCCUCGUCGUGUGUUACAAGUGUCACGCGAGACCGCCGGUGUCAAGCCGGAGGAAGGUGAGGAUGACGUCAAGUCAGCAUGGCCUUUAUGUCCUGGGCUACACACACGCUACAAUGGUCGGCACAAUUGGUUGCGAAGCCGCGAGGCGGAGCCAAUCCGUAAAGUCGGCCUCAGUUCAGAUUGUAGGCUGCAACUCGCCUGCAUGAAGAUGGAGUUGCUAGUAAACGCAGGUCAGCACUACUGCGUUGAAUACGUUCCCGGGGAUU